AAUACGUAGGGUGCGAGCGUUGUCCGGAAUUAUUGGGCGUAAAGGGCUUGUAGGCGGUUUGUCGCGUCUGCCGUGAAAUCCUCUGGCUUAACUGGGGGCGUGCGGUGGGUACGGGCAGACUUGGGUGCGGUAGGGGAGACUGGAACUCCUGGUGUAGCGGUGGAAUGCGCAGAUAUCAGGAAGAACACCGGUGGCGAAGGCGGGUCUCUGGGCCGUUACUGACGCUGAGGAGCGAAAGCGUGGGGAGCGAACAGGAUUAGAUACCCUGGUAGUCCAUGCCGUAAACGUUGGGCACUAGGUGUGGGGGACAUUCCACGUUUUCCGCGCCGUAGCUAACGCAUUAAGCACCCCGCCUGGGGAGUACGACCGCAAGGUUGAAACUCAAAGGAAUUGACGGGGGCCCGCACAAGCGGUGGAGUAUGUGGUUUAAUUCGACGCAACGCGAAGAACCUUACCAGGUCU
rnacentral:rRNA from 1 species